rnacentral:rRNA from 1 species
UACGGAGGGUGCGAGCGUUGUCCGGAAUCACUGGGCGUAAAGGGCGCGUAGGCGGCGCGGGAAGUCAUCGGUGAAAGUUCAGGGCUCAACUCUGAAUCGGCCGGUGAUACUCUCGUGCUCGAGCACUGUAGAGGCAGGUGGAAUUCCGGGUGUAGCGGUGGAAUGCGUAGAGAUCCGGAAGAACACCGGUGGCGAAGGCGGCCUUCUGGACAGUGACUGACGCUGAGACGCGAAAGCGUGGGGAGCAAACAGG